rnacentral:rRNA from 1 species
UACGGAGGGUGCGAGCGUUGUUCGGAAUUACUGGGCGUAAAGCGCGUGUAGGCGGAUAUUUAAGUCAGAUGUGAAAACCCGGGGCUCAACCGCGGGCAUGCAUCUGAAACUGGGUAUCUUGAGGACAGGAGAGGAAAGUGGAAUUCCUAGUGUAGCGGUGAAAUGCGUAGAUAUUAGGAGGAACACCAGUGGCGAAGGCGACUUUCUGGACUGUAACUGACGCUGAGGCGCGAAAGCGUGGGGAGCAAACAGGAUUAGAUACCCCGGUAGU